rnacentral:lncRNA from 1 species
UAUUUUUCAGAUGGACUGAGCAACCUCAGCUGUGGAGUUGUGGAUGCCCAGCACUUCUGAUUCAAAACCAGGGUACAGAAAUCAGUGGCUGGAUCUUCAGAAGAGCUCACCAAGUUUUGAAAAUUGGGCCAUGUAUGUGGGUGAGAAAUGUGCAGGUGUGGCAAGUUAUCUCAUUUAUUUUCCGCCCAAGCUGGAUUUCAGAUUUGAGAUGUCCCGGCUGCCAGUUCUGCUCCUAGAUGACUGUCACUCUCCUCUCCUGGGGGCUCCAGGAGGCAGAGGGCUGCCCGGGAUCAUCGCGCGAGCUUCCGGUUCCCAUCUGGAAAGCAGACAGCCUGCCUUGGGCUAUUAGGAUAAUGAAGAAAAGCCAUGCAUGCCCUGCUGUGC